AGAAGGAGGAAGUAUAAUGCAGCUUCUUGAGAAAAUAUCUUCUUUGUUAUUGUUCUUUUAGUUGCAGCUGUAAUCUGAAACGGUAAACAGAGGAGGGAAAUUGCAAUGUAGAGUAGUGAUUGAAGAGAAAAUCUUCGGAAUUGGGAAUUGCCAAGCGUACCUGCUGUGUAAGGCUUAUUGAUUAGAAAAAACCAAAAUGAAAAAGUUGUUAUGCCCUAAUAGUUUGUUCCAAGAUGGGAAAGGUCAUGUUUAAAUAUAAACAUGUACCAUUUGAGUGAGUUAACAGAGCAAACAGAGGAAGCAUUAAUGCCAAGAAAGAAAAUAUCAGAGGUUGGUGUGAACUAGGUAACAUUUCCUUUUAAGAUGGAUCAAUAUAGCUUUAUGGCUGAAUAGAUGAUGCUUGAAGGGCUAAUUCCAACCAAAGGGAACCCAGAUAAAAGAACUCCAGCUCUCCAAGGAACAGUGAUGAUUUCCUCGUUGCAAAUUCAUAAUGGGGGUUCAUUGUGCUGUAACAUUCCAUCACUCAGAAAACAGCCACUCAUAAACUGGAAUGUGCAACCCUCCAUCCUGACCACAUGACCUGUCAUGAAACCACAAGGAAGUCUACAGUCAAAGGGGAGCUUGGCCAUGGACAUUUGUUUGCAGGAUAGCGCCCGGUGUUCAAGUCUGUCCAGAUCCUCCUGUAUCCUAAGCCUG